GCCGGCGUAGCUCAACUGGUAGAGCAAUCGCCUUGUAAGCGAUAGGUUGCGGGUUCAAGUCCUGCCGCCGGCACCA
rnacentral:tRNA from 1 species